AAUAAAAAUAUCUUUGGUUGGGGCAACCACGAAGAAAAAAAAACCUUUGAAAAUAAAAAAAAUUAACAAAUUUAAAAUUUUAAUAAAAAAAGAUCCAGAAUAUCUGAUCAAAGAAAAAAGUUACCGCAGGGAUAACAGCGUUAUUCUCUUUAAGAGUUCAUAUUGACAAGAGAGUUUGCGACCUCGAUGUUGGACCGGGACAUCCUAGAAGUGCAAAAGCCUCUAAAGGUAGGUCUGUUCGACCUUUAAAGUCCUACGCGAUCUGAGUUCAGACCGACGCAAGUCAGGUCAGUUUCUAUCUA
rnacentral:rRNA from 1 species